GAUGAACGCUGGCGGCGUGCCUAACACAUGCAAGUCGAGCGGCAGCGCGGGGUGCUUGCACCCUGUCGGCGAGCGGCGGACGGCUGAGUAACGCGUGGGAACGUGCCCCAAAGUGAGGAAUAACUGCCCGAAAGGGUAGCUAAUACCGCAUAUUAUCUUCGGAUCAAAGGAUUUAUCCGCUUUGGGAGCGGCUCGCGUCGGAUUAGGUAGUUGGUGAGGUAAUGGCUCACCAAGCCGACGAUCCGUAGCUGGUCUGAGAGGAUGACCAGCCAGACUGGAACUGAGACACGGACCAGACUCCUACGGGAGGCAGCAGUGAGGAAUCUUCCACAAUGGGCGAAAGCCUGAUGGAGCAACGCCGCGUGCAGGACGAAGGCCUUCGGGUGGUAAACUGCUUUUAUAAGUGAGGAAUAUGACGGUAACUUAUGAAUAAGGAUCGGCGAACUACGG
rnacentral:rRNA from 1 species